rnacentral:sRNA from 1 species
GUCCUGGAAGCCUAAACCCACACACGUGUCGACACGAUGACCUGGGUGCCUUUGGCUCAUGCCACUGGUUGGUCAUUGGGAUACGUGGAGGCCUAAC